UAUGCACAUCGAAGCAUAUGCCAUUACGUGAAUGAAUCACCAUCUCCCACCUUCUCUCUCUAUCUCAUCUAAAUCAAACAGAAAUACAUAAAUUUAGCCAUGGCCAAAUCUUCAUCUCUGGAUCUUGAUUUUUUCGCCAUGAAUAAAGGAUCUACUGCUCUCCCACCGCCCUCUGCCGCCCCCGUUUUUCAGCGCAGAAGAAGUUUUCGAGAUAUACAAGGUGUUAUAACGAAGAUGAAUCCGGAGGUGGUGAAGAGCGUGAUUGGGAAUGGCGGUUUUGCGAUUCCUAAUUCUCCUCAAUUGGAUCCUAAACUUAGCCUGCGGUGUGGGGGUGAUGAGAAUAGAGCUCCAAUGACCAUUUUCUACAAUGGAAUGGUUUCUGUAUUUGACGUCUCUCCACGCAAGGCACAAGAUAUUCUCAAAGCGGCUGAUGAAAUGCUUCCUUCUAAAUCGCCUGAAAACUUGGAAUCCAACGCAAAUGGUGAAACAAAUUUGCUGGAAUCUUUCAACGGAGAUUUGCCCAUAUCAAGGAAAAUUUCUCUGCAAAGGUUUCUGCAGAAGCGAAAGGAAAGGUUGGUACUAUUAUUAUAUUUAAAUUGUUUAAUUUUUCGUUUUAUUAUGCUCCCUAUAUCACUCACAAUUAUCUAAAGGUUACUGUUGUGUUAAGAUGAACAUUUUUCUCGAAAAUUAUACUACUACCAAACUACCUAUAAUAUGCCACCCCAUAUUUAUUUAUAGUUAAUUAGCAACGGCCCCAUUUAAUUCGGGAUUAAAAUUAUAUGAUUCCGCGGUUUAAUCUUUCCUUCUUCAUGUUGCCGACGGCUCAUUAAUCUGCAAUUGUUAAUCCUAUUGUUCACUCUUUUUUUGAUAAUCCAAGUCUGAAUUUAAAUUUUUUCAGGGUUGAACAUUGAUGAAGACGUAAUAACAUAAUCGUGCAAAAAUUAAGGUUAUGAAUUUGAAUGCAGCCAAUUUGUUGGCUGCAGUUUCUUGGUUUAGUCGUGUGGAUAGUGUGGAAUGCUACGACCACUUUUUUAUUUUAUUACUAGUAUAUUACUAUUAAAUUACAAUAUUGUAUGUGGAGAUUUCUUGCAAUUGACUUUAGUGUUUGCUACUCUUUGCCACCUAUACUUAAAAGAAAAACCUAACUUUGAACAA